rnacentral:rRNA from 1 species
UACGAAGGGGGCUAGCGUUGUCCGGAUUUAUUGGGCGUAAAGAGCGUGUAGGCGGCUUGGUAGGUCCGCUGUGAAAACUCGAGGCUCAACCUCGAGAUGUCGGCGGAAACCACUUGGCUAGAGUCCGGAAGAGGAGAGUGGAAUUCCUGGUGUAGCGGUGAAAUGCGCAGAUAUCAGGAAGAACACCUAUGGCGAAGGCAGCUCUCUGGGACGGUACUGACGCUGAGACGCGAAAGCGUGGGGAGCGAACAGG